rnacentral:rRNA from 1 species
GUACACUCCUACGGGAGGCAGCAGUGGGGAAUUUUGGACAAUGGGCGAAAGCCUGAUCCAGCAAUGCCGCGUGAGUGAAGAAGGCCUUCGGGUUGUAAAGCUCUUUUGUCAGGGAAGAAACGGUGAAAGCUAAUAUCUUUUGCUAAUGACGGUACCUGAAGAAUAAGCACCGGCUAACUACGUGCCAGCAGCCGCGGUAAUACGUAGGGUGCAAGCGUUAAUCGGAAUUACUGGGCGUAAAGCGUGCGCAGGCGGUUUUGUAAGUCUGAUGUGAAAUCCCCGGGCUCAACCUGGGAAUUGCAUUGGAGACUGCAAGGCUAGAAUCUGGCAGAGGGGGGUAGAAUUCCACGUGUAGCAGUGAAAUGCGUAGAUAUGUGGAGGAACACCGAUGGCGAAGGCAGCCCCCUGGGUCAAGAUUGACGCUCAUGCACGAAAGCGUGGGGAGCAAACAGGAUUAGAAACCCUAGUAGUCCCAU